CGGGAAAUGGCUCAGCUUGGUAGAGUGCUACGUUCGGGACGUAGAGGUCGCAGGUUCAAAUCCUGUUUUCCCGA
rnacentral:tRNA from 1 species